GUGAUGUAAUUAGCUUGGGUGCUUAAAUAGGGAGGUUUUUGAACUCUGCUCUCAUUCCACUUUUGGAUCUCUGUGUAUGAGGACACACAAGGAGAGCUGCUGGGAAAUAAAAGAAGCUUAAUAUUAUUUAUCCCAUUGCCGGAUCCUCAUAUAUAUUUUUUGGACAUAUGAAAGUAUUGUAGGUAAAAUAUGGAUUAUAAUUUUGUGAAAAUACAGCUGUUUCAAAUUAAUUAAUUACCUUUUCAUAAAAAACACUCCUGAAGAAGUCGACAUACGACGAAACGCGUUGAGUGAAAAAAUCUUUUAUUGUUUGGAAAAGUUGUUAUUCAAUUUUUUGGCUGUAAUGAACAAUAACACAUUGUAAAAGUGUACAUCAUUUUUUAUCAGUAUUGAAAUUUAAUUAUUUUAGCAAUAAAAAGCA